UACGUAGGGGGCAAGCGUUGUCCGGAAUUAUUGGGCUUAAAGCGCGUGUAGGCGGUCCGGUAAGUCGGUUGUGAAAGUCCAGGGCUCAACCCUGGGAUGCCGACCGAUACUGUCGGACUAGAGUUCGGAAGAGGCGAGUGGAAUUCCCGGUGUAGCGGUGAAAUGCGCAGAUAUCGGGAGGAACACCAAUGGCGAAGGCAGCUCGCUGGGACGUUACUGACGCUGAGGAGCGAAAGCGUGGGGAGCGAACAGG
rnacentral:rRNA from 1 species